rfam:Musa acuminata subsp. malaccensis Doubled-haploid Pahang (DH-Pahang) genomic chromosome, chr1
UUUCGAUCAGUGAUGCGAACAUAAAUCUGCGUUAUCUUUCUGUAACUCGCUCGUUUUGGGUGGUGAAGAUGGCUAUAGUGCACUGAGAUCAGAU